rnacentral:rRNA from 1 species
GACGAACGCUGGCGGCGUGCUUAACACAUGCAAGUCGAACGGAAAGGCCCUGCUUUUGUGGGGUGCUCGAGUGGCGAACGGGUGAGUAACACGUGAGUAACCUGCCCUUGACUUUGGGAUAACUUCAGGAAACUGGGGCUAAUACCGGAUAGGAGCUCCUGCUGCAUGGUGGGGGUUGGAAAGUUUCGGCGGUUGGGGAUGGACUCGCGGCUUAUCAGCUUGUUGGUGGGGUAGGGGCUUACCAAGGCUUUGACGGGUAGCCGGCCUGAGAGGGUGACCGGCCACCUUGGGACUGAGAUACGGACCAGACUCCUACGGGAGGCAGCAGUGGGGAAUAUUGCACAAUGGGCGGAAGCCUGAUGCAGCAACGCCGCGUGCGGGAUGACGGCCUUCGGGUUGUAAACCGCUUUCGCCUGUGACGAAGCGUGAGUGACGGUAAUGGGUAAAGAAGCACCGGCUAACUACGUG